rnacentral:rRNA from 1 species
GGCUGCAACUCGCCUACAUGAAGUUGGAAUCGCUAGUAAUCGCGAAUCAGAAUGUCGCGGUGAAUACGUUCCCGGGUCUUGUACACACCGCCCGUCACACCAUGGGAGCCGGUAAUACCCGAAGUCAGUAGUCUAACCGCAAGGAGGACGCUGCCGAAGGUAGGAUUGGCGACUGGGGUGAAGUCGUAACAAGGUAAC